rnacentral:lncRNA from 1 species
CUGAAAGGCUGAAAGGCUAAGGGGAAGCAAUUCAUGGCUAAUCAAAAUCAAGACCUCUAUUUGAACAAAAGCUUUCUGCCCCGAGGAACCCCACUUAAAAUGGCAUUUAACAAAAAAAUACACAUUUAGAUUUCAAAAUCCAGCAUGGCCAAUUAAGAGAAGCAGACAUCUCACUACAGCUCCCCUGUGCUAUGUUUCAUGAUGUGGUCCUUAAUUACAGCAUCAUUUCAGGCCAUUUUUAUGUAACCUUAUUCACACACAGUGAAUAGUGCUGAAUGAAUGAGCAGCUAUUCAGUAUUUUGCUCCCCCUCACUAUGCACUGUGUCUUUCUAUCUCCUCUUUUGCAGCCCAAGCUGAAGGCCAGAUUAAUCAUUUCUCCCUAGGUUUUUCUAAAGAGCAUUUCAGUGUAAUAUAUGAGUGCUUGCCAACUAUUAAUUAAUUACUUUUCACCCCGCAAAAUGGGAAAGUGGUACACUUCCCAUUUUAUAGGCAAGGAGCUGAGACACAGACAGGAGGUCAAAAGUGCCCAUUAAUUUUCAGAGCCCAAUUCGAUAUGCCUUGGGCAUGAUUAUUCACGGCACUUAGCAUUAUGUACUCCUUCAUGCACUCAGCAUACCGCUCGCCUCGAAUAAAGUGGCUGCUGGUGGUCCUUUGUAGUGCUGCAUAUCAGAUUUUGUAGGAUCGUAAGUCAGGGACGCAGAAGGUGAUCAGCAUACAAACAGUGGCCCCCAGGAAACAUCCAGUUAAGGGUCAGCCCCACCUGGGAACUGCCCCAUUUUCCCAGCCAGCAUUACAAGGCCUUAAUGCUGGGACCAUCCAGUCCCUUGUUCAUCACACAAUUCCCAGAUGCAGCACCAGCAGAGAAAGGAAUCUCACAGACAAUAAUCUCGAUAUUAGGAGGAAGUUUUUCACCCAGAGGGUGGUGACGCACUGAACAGGUUGCCCAAGGAGGCUGUGGGUGCCCCAUCCCUGCAGGCAUUCAAGGCCAGGCUGGAUGUGGCUCUGGGCAGCCUGGUCUGCUGGUUGGCGAC